rnacentral:rRNA from 1 species
GGCUCAGGAUGAACGCUAGCUACAGGCUUAACACAUGCAAGUCGAGGGAAACGGGAGGAUAGCUUGCUAUCCUUGCCGUCGACCGGCGCACGGGUGAGUAACGCGUAUCCAACCUGCCAUCCAGUGGAGGAUAGCCUUUCGAAAGAAAGGAUAAUACUCCAUGACCUCCUCAGAGGACAUCUGACGAGGAGCAAAGAUUUAUCGCUGGGUGAUGGGGAUGCGUCUGAUUAGGCAGUUGGCGGGGUAAAGGCCCACCAAACCGACGAUCAGUAGGGGUUCUGAGAGGAAGGUCCCCCACAUUGGAACUGAGACACGGUCCAAACUCCUACGGGAGGCAGCAGUGAGGAAUAUUGGUCAAUGGACGUAAGUCUGAACCAGCCAAGUAGCGUGCAGGAAGACGGCCCUAUGGGUUGUAAACUGCUUUUAUGCGGGGGUAAAGUGAGUGACGUGUCAUUCAUUGCAAGUACCGCAAGAAUAAGGACCGGCUAAUUCCGUG